rnacentral:lncRNA from 1 species
GGGCUGUGCUGUCCUCACUCUUUUGCAGGGUACUGGAGUCAACUUACCAGCUGGAAAUUUCUCACGGGUGGAGAAAUUUCCUACACAGGCUCUUCUGUGUCAGGGGUGAGUAAGUCAGUCUUAAGGGGCAGGAAAAAGCUAUAGUUCAUACGGAAUUAUUAAAGCAGGACACAGUGAGUUUCUGCCCUCUACAACCUUUCUUCCUAGAGCUUAGUGUGCACAGAUGCUGAGCCAGCUUGAGUCAGGGUUUUGUUCCCAGUCAUGAAAAGCAUCCUGACUAACUGAGGAUUUGUAGCAGAUUCUCCUCCCAGACCCAGCUGCUGAGCUGAAUGCCACUAAGAAUAAUUACCAAAGAACUGCUGAAGAGGUUGCACAGAGUCUGGGGUGAAGCAGAUGGAAUCCAAAAGGCUCCAAGGACAAAAAUUAUGGGGAAAGAGAUCAAGGGAGCCACGAUGGACCCUAGCCUUCUGUUUGUCGUCAGGUCUUCUUCAUCUGUCCUUAAUUCCAAGACCACAAAUGGAGGAAAGCUUCCUCCUAACAGUUCUGAUUUCAAAAGGAAGUCAAAGAACUGCUACAAACUGUUAAAACCUCUGACUAGAACUGGCAAAAGCCACAUUCAGCUACACGCCACUGAAGAGAACUAGUCUUAUUUUUUUUUAUUUGGUUCCUUUUUUGAACUUUUUAUUGAUUCUUUUUAAUUUCAUAUUAUGCAUCUAAAUCCCAGUCACCUGCCCAUCCCUUCCACUCUUUGCCAUGUAAUAACCCACCAAAACAAAAUUAAAUAAAAU